UUAAGUUAAUAAGGGCGCGUGGUGAAUGCCUUGGCACUAGGAGCCGAUGAAGGACGUGACUAACUACGAUAAGCUUUGGUGAGCGGUAAGUACGCUAUGACCCAAAGAUUUCCGAAUGGGGAAACCCAACUCGUAAGAGUUGUCUGUAUCUGAAUACAUAGGAUAUUUGACGGAAUACGCUGUGAACUGAAACAUCUCAUUAGCAGCAGGAGCAGAAAGAAAAAUCGAUUCCCUAAGUAGCGGCGAGCGAACGGGGAAGAGCCCAAACCAACGUGCUUGCAUGUUGGGGUUGUAGGACUGAUAUAUAAGAGUUACAAAAGUGUUUUAUAGCAGAACAAGUUGGGAAACUUGGCUAUAGAGGGUGAUAGCCCCGUAAGCGAAAUGAAGCACACUCUUUUCAGGAUCCUGAGUACGGCCGGACACGUGAAAUCCGGUCGGAAUCUGCGGGGACCAUCCCGUAAGGCUAAAUACUCCCUAGUGACCGAUAGUGAACCAGUACCGUGAGGGAAAGGUGAAAAGCACCCCGGAAGGGGAGUGAAAUAGUUCCUGAAACCACGACGCCUACAAGAAGUCAGAGCCCGUUAAUGGGUGAUGGCGUGCCUUUUGUAGAAUGAACCGGCGAGUUACGGUAUCGUGCGAGGUUAAGGUGGAAAGACCGGAGCCGCAGCGAAAGCGAGUGUGAAUAGCGCGAAUAGUACGAUGCUGUAGACCCGAAACCAAGUGACCUACCCAUGGUCAGGAUGAAGGUGAGGUAAAACUUACUGGAGGUCCGAACCGGUGCAUGUUAAAAAAUGCUCGGAUGAACUGUGGGUAGCGGUGAAAUUCCAAACGAACUUGGAGAUAGCUGGUUCUCUCCGAAAUAGCUUUAGGGCUAGCCUCAUUAUAAGCAUACUGGAGGUAGAGCACUGUUAAGCCUAGGGGCCCAUCUCGGGUUACCAAAGUUUGAUAAACUCCGAAUGCCAGAUAUGUAUGAAUGGGAGUCAGACGAUGAGUGAUAAGAUCCACCGUCGAAAGGGGAACAGCCCAGAUCGCCAGUUAAGGUCCCUAAAUAUAUGUUAAGUGGAAAACGAUGUGAUAGUGCAUAGACAACUAGGAUGUUGGCUUAGAAGCAGCCACCAUUUAAAGAGUGCGUAAUAGCUCACUAGUCGAGUGCCAUUGCGCGGAAAAUGUACCGGGGCUAAACAUAUUACCGAAACUGCGGGUGCACGUAAGUGCGCGAUAGGAGAGCGUUGUAAGGGCGACGAAGGUAGAUCGUAAGGACUGCUGGAGCGCUUACAAGUGAGAAUGCCGGUAUGAGUAGCGAAAGACAGGUGAGAAUCCUGUCCACCGAAUGACUAAGGUUUCCUGGGGAAGGCUCGUCCACCCAGGGUUAGUCGGGACCUAAGGCGAGGCUGAGAAGCGUAGUCGAUGGAUAACAGGUUGAGAUUCCUGUACCAGUUGUAAUGCGUUAUUACCGAUGGAGGGACGCAGGAGGCUACCAGAUGCGCACUGAUGGAUAUGUGCGUGCAAGCAGUAAGUCUUGAAAAGAGUGAAAUGCUUUUUUCUAUAAGGACAAGCUGUGAUGCGGAUCGAAAUAAAGUAGAGAAGUCUGAGACGUCACACUGCCGAGAAAAGCUUCUAGGAAGUAUUACACUGCCCGUACCGCAAACCGACACAGGUAGUCGAGUGGAGAACACUAAGGUGAGCGAGAGAACCCUCGUUAAGGAACUCGGCAAAAUGACCCCGUAACUUCGGGAGAAGGGGUGCUCAUGGUAAAACAUGAGCCGCAGUGAAUAGGCCCAGGCGACUGUUUAUCAAAAACACAGGUUUCUGCAAAAUCGUAAGAUGAAGUAUAGGGGCUGACGCCUGCCCGGUGCUGGAAGGUUAAAAGGAGUGCUUAGCUUCGGCGAAGGUACGAAUUGAAGCCCCAGUAAACGGCGGCCGUAACUAUAACGGUCCUAAGGUAGCGAAAUUCCUUGUCGGGUAAGUUCCGACCCGCACGAAAGGCGUAACGAUCUGGGCACUGUCUCAACGAGGGACUCGGUGAAAUUUAAAUACCCGUGAAGAUGCGGGUUACCCGCGACAGGACGGAAAGACCCCAUGGAGCUUUACUGUAGCUUGAUAUUGAAUGUUUGUGCUGCUUGUACAGAAUAGGUAGGAGACGUAGAAGAUUGGACGCUAGUCUAGUCGGAGUCGCACGGUGGGAUACUACCCUCGUUGUAUGAACAUUCUAACACUGGUCACUCAACGUGAUCGUGGACAGUGUCUGGCGGGCAGUUUGACUGGGGCGGUCGCCUCCUAAAAGGUAACGGAGGCGCUCAAAGGUUUGCUCAGAAUGGUUGGAAAUCAUUCGUAGCGUGUAAAGGCAUAAGCAAGCUUGACUGCGAGAGCUACAACUCGAGCAGGUACGAAAGUAGGACUUAGUGAUCCGGUGGUUCCGCAUGGAAGGGCCAUCGCUCAACGGAUAAAAGCUACCCUGGGGAUAACAGGCUCAUCUCCCCCAAGAGUCCACAUCGACGGGGAGGUUUGGCACCUCGAUGUCGGCUCAUCGCAUCCUGGGGCUGUAGUCGGUCCCAAGGGUUGGGCUGUUCGCCCAUUAAAGCGG
rnacentral:rRNA from 1 species